GAGGAAUAUUGGUCAAUGGGCGCAAGCCUGAACCAGCCACGUCGCGUGAAGGAAGACGGCCCUACGGGUUGUAAACUUCUUUUGUAAGGGAAUAAAGUGUAGUACGUGUACUAUUUUGCAUGUACCUUACGAAUAAGGAUCGGCUAACUCCGUGCCAGCAGCCGCGGUAAUACGGAGGAUCCGAGCGUUAUCCGGAUUUAUUGGGUUUAAAGGGUGCGCAGGCGGGAGAUUAAGUCGGCGGUGAAAUUUUGCAGCUCAACUGUAAAAGUGCCUUCGAAACUGGUUUCCUUGAGUGUAGAUGAAGUAGGCGGAAUUUGUGGUGUAGCGGUGAAAUGCAUAGAUAUCACGAGGAACUCCGAUUGCGCAGGCAGCUUACUAAACUACUACUGACGCUCAGGCACGAAGGCGUGGGGAUCAAAC
rnacentral:rRNA from 1 species